UUCCGGUUGAUCCUGCCGGACCCGACUGCUAUCAGAGUGGGACUAAGCCAUGCGAGUCAACGUAGCAAUACGUGGCAUACGGCUCAGUAACACGUAGUCAACAUGCCCAGGGGACGAGGAUAACCUCGGGAAACCGAGGAUAAACCUCGAUAGGCCAUGAUUUCUGGAAUGAUUCUUGGCUCAAACCUAUAUGGCCCCUGGAUUGGACUGCGGCCGAUCAGGCUGUUGGUGAGGUAAUGGCCCACCAAACCUAUUACCGGUACGGGCUCUGAGAGGAGGAGCCCGGAGAUGGGCACUGAGACAAGGGCCCAGGCCCUAUGGGGCGCAGCAGGCGCGAAACCUCUGCAAUAGGCGAAAGCUUGACAGGGUUACUCUGAGUGAUUUCCGCUAAGGGAAUCUUUUGGCACCUCUAAAAAUGGUGCAGAAUAAGGGGUGGGCAAGUCUGGUGUCAGCCGCCGCGGUAAUACCAGCACCCCGAGUGGUCGGGACGAUUAUUGGGCCUAAAGCAUCCGUAGCCGGUCCUGCAAGUCUUCCGUUAAAUCCAGCUGCUCAACAGAUGGGCUGCGGGAGAUACUACAGGGCUAGGAGGCGGGAGAGGCAAGCGGUACUUUAUGGGUAGGGGUAAAAUCCGCUGAUCCAUAGAAGACCACCAGUGGCGAAGGCGGCUUGCCAGAACGCGCUCGACGGUGAGGGAUGAAAGCUGGGGGAGCAAACCGGAUUAGAUACCCGGGUAGUCCCAG
rnacentral:rRNA from 1 species